UGAGGAAUUUUCCGCAAUGGGCGAAAGCCUGACGGAGCAAUACCGCGUGGAGGAUGACGGCCUGUGGGUCUUAAACUCCUUUUCUUAGAGAAGAAGUUCUGACGGUAUCUAAGGAAUAAGCAUCGGCUAACUCCGUGCCAGCAGCCGCGGUAAUACGGAGGAUGCAAGCGUUAUCCGGAAUGAUUGGGCGUAAAGCGUCUGUAGGUGGCUUCCCAAGUCAACUGUCAAACAUCAGGGCUUAACCUUGAGCCGGCAGUUGAAACUAUGAAGCUUGAGUUAGGUAGGGGCAGAGGGAAUUCCUAGUGUAGCGGUGAAAUGCGUAGAUAUUAGGAAGAACACCAAUCGCGAAAGCACUSUGCUGGGCCAUGACUGACACUCAGAGACGAAAGCUAAGGGAGCGAAUGGGAUUAGAUACCCCAGUAGUCUUAGCCGUAAACGAUGGAUACUAAGUUCUGGUCGAUUUAAAACCGUUCAGUUCUGUAGCUAACGCGUCAAGUAUCCCGCCUGGGGAGUAUGCUCGCAAGGGUG
rnacentral:rRNA from 1 species